GUGAAUGGGUUAAAUGAGGACGUGAAUGGGUUAAAUGAGGACGUGAAUGGGUUAAAUGAGGACGUGAAUAGGUUAAAUGAGGACGUGAAUGGGUUAAAUGAGGACGUGAAUGGGUUAAAUGAGGACGAUGAGGACGUGAAUGGGUUUAAUGAGGAUGUGAAUGGGUUUAAUGAGGAUGUGAAUGGGUUAAAUGAGGAUGUGAAUGGGUUAAAUGAGGACGUGAAUGGGUUAAAUGAGGACGAUGAGGACGUGAAUGGGUUUAAUGAGGAUGUGAAUGGGUUUAAUGAGGAUGUGAAUGGGUUAAAUGAGGACGUGAAUGGGUUAAAUGAGGACGUGAAUGGGUUAAAUGAGGACGUGAAUAGGUUAAAUGAGGACGUGAAUGGGUUAAAUGAGGACGUGAAUGGGUUUAAUGAGGA